UACGGAGGGUGCAAGCGUUAUCCGGAUUCACUGGGCUUAAAGGGUGCGUAGGUGGUUUUGUAAGUCAGUGGUGAAAGCCCGGAGCUCAACUCCGGAACUGCCAUUGAUACUGCUUAACUUGAAUCAACUUGAGGUGGAUGGAAUAUUACAUGUAGCGGUGAAAUGCUUAGAUAUGUAAUAGAACACCGAUUGCGAAGGCAGUUCACUAAGGUUGUAUUGACACUGAGGCACGAAAGCGUGGGGAUCAAACAGG
rnacentral:rRNA from 1 species